UAUCGACUGUGCACAUUGCAGACUUUGCCGGUGGACAUAUGGGACGAGAGUUUUAGUGUUUUGAUUCUUUUGGAUAUCUGAAAACUAGACGAAAAACCUCAGUAAAAUGACCACACUUCGACCUUUUACCUGUGACGACCUCUUUAAGUUUAAUAAUGUAAACUUUGACCCACUUACGGAGACUUAUGGUCUGUCCUUCUACACGCAUUACUUGGCCAAGUGGCCGGAGUACUUCCAACUGGCGGAGUCUCCUAGCGGCCAAAUAAUGGGCUACAUCAUGGGCAAGGUUGAGGGUCAUCUGGACAAUUGGCACGGGCAUGUUACGGCUCUGACAGUCUCGCCUGACUAUCGGCGUCUCGGCCUGGCAGCACUUCUCAUGAGCUUUUUGGAAGACAUUUCGGAGAAAAAGAGAGCAUACUUCGUUGACUUGUUUGUAAGGAAGAGCAAUCAGGUGGCGAUUAACAUGUACACGAAUCUCGGCUAUAUCAUCUACCGGACCAUACUGGAGUAUUACUCCGGUGAUCAGGACGAGGAUGCGUACGACAUGAGAAAGGCCUUAUCCAGGGACGUAAACAAGAAGUCGGUCAUACCGUACACGCAGCCUGUACGACUGGAAGAUAUAGAUAUGAAUUGAUACGAUAUCAACCCAGUAGCGCCUGAAAUCGCAUUUAUGUCUAACUGAUCCCGAUCCACCAUUUUUAACGGGCGCGAGCGCAUCAAUUCGCAGCCCAUUGGUUUCUUAGUUAAUUUAGUUAUGUAAAUAAUCCGUAAUCCUUUAAUCAUCUCGGUAAUAACAUCCCAUUCAACUUUAACCGAUGUCCUGCUUGUGAACCAAAUUUUCCAGCAACAUUUACAUGCAUAUACCAACCAAAACGUAAUACCUGUAAUUAAGUACAUGUUCGGCCUCGUUACAAAAUUAAGCUCGAAUUUUCGAUAAUUCUAUUGACUUUGAAAUUAUUUAAAGAUUUCGUAAGCCGAUGAGUAAAUAACUGUUAUUCAAAGAUUGUUCCACAGUUCUGAAGAUCACCAUGCGCGAGCUGCGCAGGCAAAUGCGGCACGAUCACUGAAUGGGAUACAUCACCUCAGUGGAUAAAUAUGUAUAAGCAUACUAUACCGGCCUUGUCGAAUCCCAAAUACCAACAUAUUGCGUAGAAAUCCCUUUUACUGAAAUAUACAACUGAAAUUUA